rnacentral:lncRNA from 10 species
CAGGAUCAAGAACUUCUGGAUUGGAGGCGGGGGUCAAAUCUUCUGUGCAUCUUCCCAGUUCAGAAGAAAUACCAAGGCUAUCAGAUCCUGGGCACCGAGGUGAGGACACCUCCAGAGGCAGCUGAAUUCAUUCCUUCCAGAUAUGCUGCUUGGCAACGAUUAUAUCACACAUCACAUACGUCUGGAUCAAGUGUUACUUUGCAAGUAUUCAGCUAUGGCAUUAAAGAUCCUUUCAAGAACCCUUUUGAAUGGCUUCUCUAGGUGACACAGCAAAUGGAUUCCUAAGUAUGCAUCCAUUCUCCCGGGUAAACCACGAGUCUCAAAAAGUAGGCAGCAGGCUGGACCCGGUGGCACACGCAUGGAAUCCCAGCGCUUUGGGAGGCCAAGGCAGGAAGUUGCUUGAGGCCAGGAGUGCAAAACCAACAUGGCGAGACUCUGUCUGUAUAAGAAAUAAAAUAAAUUAUCCAGGUGUGGUGGUGUGUACCUGUUGUUCCAG